UACGAAGGGGGCUAGCGUUGUUCGGAAUUACUGGGCGUAAAGCGUACGUAGGCGGAUUGUUAAGUGAGGGGUGAAAUCCCGAGGCUCAACCUCGGAACUGCCUUUCAUACUGGCAAUCUUGAGUCCGGGAGAGGUGAGUGGAACUCCUAGUGUAGAGGUGAAAUUCGUAGAUAUUAGGAAGAACACCAGUGGCGAAGGCGGCUCACUGGCCCGGAACUGACGCUGAGGUACGGAAGCGUGGGGAGCAAACAGG
rnacentral:rRNA from 1 species